rnacentral:rRNA from 1 species
AUAACAAUACAGGACUCUUUAGAGGCCCUGUAAUUGUAAUGAGUCCACUUGAAAUCCUUUAACUCUGAUCAAUUGGAGGGCAAGUCUGGUGCAGAGCGACUGACCCGUGCAUGCUGUAGUUGAAACUCCAC